GACGAACCGUGCGAACGUUGUUCGGAAUCACUGGGCUUAAAGGGCGCGUAGGCGGGCUGGCCAGUCAGGGGUGAAAGCCCACGGCUCAACCGUGGAAGUGCCUUUGAUACUGCCAGUCUGGAGGGAAGUAGGGGCGUGCGGAACUUCCGGUGGAGCGGUGAAAUGCGUUGAUAUCGGAAGGAACGCCGGUGGCGAAAGCGGCGUGCUGGACCUUUACUGACGCUGAGGCGCGAAAGCCAGGGGAGCGAACGGG
rnacentral:rRNA from 1 species